rnacentral:snoRNA from 1 species
ACCCUCUCAGGGUCACACUUGCAGAGUUUCCAGUACUCUAUCAGCCUCGGUGAUGGGAGGGAGAGUCAAGCAGAGUCAUACCCAUUCCAUUCCUAGCUUGGCCAGUGGCUAGCAAGUAGAAGGCAAUCUGCUACAUGU